rnacentral:tRNA from 1 species
AUGAUUUUAAGUUAAAUUAAACUAGAAGCCUUCAAAGCUUAAAAUAAAAAUAUUUUAAAUCUUA